rnacentral:rRNA from 1 species
AUGGCUGUCGUCAGCUCGUGCCGUGAGGUGUUGGGUUAAGUCCCGCAACGAGCGCAACCCCUAUUCUCUGUUGCCCCGCAAGGGGAUCUCUGAGGAAACUGCCGGCGAUGAGCCGGAGGAAGGUGGGAUGACGUCAAGUCAUCAUGGCCCUUACGUCCAGGGCGACACACGUGCUACAAUGGCAGCUACAGAGGGCAGCAAGACCGCGAGGUGGAGCCAAUCCCUAAAAGCUGUCUCAGUUGGGAUCGGAGUCUGCAACUCGACUCCGUGAACGCGGAAUCGCUAGUAAUCGUGGAUCAGCCAUGCCACGGUGAAUACGUUCCCGGGCCUU